ACGUGUCUGGCCAGUAUUUUGGUAAGAUACUGGCUGGAUUGUGUGUGUGUGUGUGUGUGUGUGUGUGUGUGCGCAAUUUUCUUCUUUUAGGUUAACUAAUUAGUUAAAUAAAUAAAUAAAUGAGAAAAUAAAUAAAUAAAUAAAUGAGAAAAUAGGUAAAAGUAAUAAUAAGAAAAUUUGAAAGUAAAUAAAUAUAUAAAUAAAAAUAUAGGAAUAUUUAUGAGGUGGGGGAGCAGAAGGGGGGGUGGGUAAGCAAGAUUAGGAGUGCUGGUAGAAGUAGGGGGUGAAGGGGCGGGUGAGGAAGCUGUAUGGAUGACCACAAUAGGGGGGGCGGGUUGGGGUAGGAUGUGGGUGAUAUAUAAUUUGCUAAUAUUUGAACCCUUUAUAUACCGACAUGCAUACUGACACAUUUCUCUCAGACAGAUAAGCCUGGCUGGUGAGAGAGAGAGGGAGUGGGGGGUUCUGUUUCAUUAUAAUGUGGAUGAGGGGACAAGAGAGCCAGUGUUCCAAGUACCACCACCAUCACCACUGCCACCACCACCACCACCAUCAGGAGCACAGAUUCACUGAAGUCUCUACCAAGAUUUCUUUGAGUUUUUUGAUAAAUUUAACUUCCAGGAGAGAGAGAGAUGCUGAUUGUUAAAGGCAGUGUGUGAAGCCUGCCCACUGUCUUUGUAUAUACAGAAGGUGGAAUUUGAGUCGGCCAAGCCUCAGAAAUGCAGGAAGGAUUAGCGGUGAUGACUGCAGGCUGCCAUCGACCCGCAGGUGUGAUGGUGCCCGACCAGCUGGUACACAUCAGUGAGAUGGUGGUGGUGCUGGAAAACAGCUGGUUUGCCAAGUGCAGCGUCAGGCAGGCUGCCCGCCCACACAGUCACCAGAAGGAUCACAGGUCAUCACAGGAAUCAAAUGCAGCAUCAGUAUGGCUCACCAAACACUUCCCCUCACACUGGUGGUGUUGACCUGCCUUGUGAACACCUGAUCUCCUGUGCUCCUGUCCUUCACAGCUCUCCAGGUGACAUCAGAUGUGGAUGAGGGGACAAGAGAGCCAGUGUUCCAAGUACCACCACCAUCACCACUGCCACCACCACCACCACCACCAUCAGGAGCACAGAUUCACUGAAGUCUCUACCAAGAUUUCUUUGAGUUUUUUGAUAAAUUUAACUUCCAGGAGAGAGAGAGACAGAGAUGAUUGUUACUGGCAGUGUGUGAAGCCUGCCCACUGUCUUUGUAUAUACAGAAGGUGGAAUUUGAGUCGGCCAAGCCUCAGAAAUGCAGGAAGGAUUAGCGGUGAUGACUGCAGGCUGCCAUCGACCCGCAGGUGUGAUGGUGCCCGACCAGCUGGUACACAUCAGUGAGAUGGUGGUGGUGCUGGAAAACAGCUGGUUUGCCAAGUGCAGCGUCAGGCAGGCUGCCCGCCCACACAGUCACCAGAAGGAUCACAGGUCAUCACAGGAAUCAAAUGCAGCAUCAGUAUGGCUCACCAAACACUUCCCCUCACACUGGUGGUGUUGACCUGCCUUGUGAACACCUGAUCUCCUGUGCUCCUGUCCUUCACAGCUCUCCAGGUGACAUCAGAUGUGGAUGAGGGGACAAGAGAGCCAGUGUUCCAAGUACCACCACCAUCACCACUGCCACCACCACCACCACCACCAUCAGGAGCACAGAUUCACUGAAGUCUCUACCAAGAUUUCUUUGAGUUUUUUGAUAAAUUUAACUUCCAGGAGAGAGAGAGACAGAGAUGAUUGUUACUGGCAGUGUGUGAAGCCUGCCCACUGUCUUUGUAUAUACAGAAGGUGGAAUUUGAGUCGGCCAAGCCUCAGAAAUGCAGGAAGGAUUAGCGGUGAUGACUGCAGGCUGCCAUCGACCCGCAGGUGUGAUGGUGCCCGACCAGCUGGUACACAUCAGUGAGAUGGUGGUGGUGCUGGAAAACAGCUGGUUUGCCAAGUGCAGCGUCAGGCAGGCUGCCCGCCCACACAGUCACCAGAAGGAUCACAGGUCAUCACAGGAAUCAAAUGCAGCAUCAGUAUGGCUCACCAAACACUUCCCCUCACACUGGUGGUGUUGACCUGCCUUGUGAACACCUGAUCUCCUGUGCUCCUGUCCUUCACAGCUCUCCAGGUGACAUCAGAUGUGGAUGAGGGGACAAGAGAGCCAGUGUUCCAAGUACCACCACCAUCACCACUGCCACCACCACCACCACCAUCAGGAGCACAGAUUCACUGAAGUCUCUACCAAGAUUUCUUUGAGUUUUUUGAUAAAUUUAACUUCCAGGAGAGAGAGAGACAGAGAUGAUUGUUACUGGCAGUGUGUGAAGCCUGCCCACUGUCUUUGUAUAUACAGAAGGUGGAAUUUGAGUCGGCCAAGCCUCAGAAAUGCAGGAAGGAUUAGCGGUGAUGACUGCAGGCUGCCAUCGACCCGCAGGUGUGAUGGUGCCCGACCAGCUGGUACACAUCAGUGAGAUGGUGGUGGUGCUGGAAAACAGCUGGUUUGCCAAGGGCAGCGCCAGGCAGGCUGCCUGCCCACACAGUCACCAGAAGGAUCACGGCACAUCUCCCGUCAGGUCUUGGGAGCACCGGGUGUUGUUCGGCAGGAAGGAGGCCAGGUUGUUAGGGCACGGCCUCACCCCACUGUCGCACACACCCACAGGCAUGAGGGGUGCCAGCCAGCAGGCCACGUCCCCAACACAGCUCCCACCUGCAUCCUGACCUCAUUCAGCAUCAACACCAGCCACACAGAAAAGUGAUGCUCCUGCAACAGCUGACGUUUACCUUUGCCAGUCACCUCGUCCAUGCUGAACUGCUCCACCAGCACCUUUGAAGCAGCUGUCCUACAUCCUCCUGGAAGCAACAGCAUACAGUCAUCACAGGAAUCAAAUGCAGCAUCAGUAUGGCUCACCAAACACUUCCCCUCACACUGGUGGUGUUGACCUGCCUUGUGAACACCUGAUCUCCUGUGCUCCUGUCCUUCACAGCUCUCCAGGUGACAUCAGCUGAGUGCAGCUGUCGGUGACUGCAGGAAUGGACCUCAGAUGGUGGAUACAGCAUUACCAAGUCAAGAAGGAGACACUGUGAUGUGGCUGCAGGUGGAUAGAUACCAGGAUAUGUGACCACCACCACCACCACCACCACCAUUGGAGAUGCCCCUCUGUAGUUGCACAUUACGGCCCUGUUGUGUACCCUGGUGGCCUUCAUAGUUGACCGGCAUACCCUUGGCCUCCAUGUCCAUCCAGCAGGAGGAAGAUGUUCUGGACACCUGGUUCUCCUCUUGCCUGUUUCCUUUUGCCUCGCUGGGCUGGCCAGGUCUGGGGAGGAGAGAGACCAUGCCUGACCUUGCUCGCUUCUACCCAACGACCUUGGUGGAGACGAGUCACGACAUCCUCUUCUUCUGGGUGAUUCAGAUGGUCAUGCUGGGACUCAACCUGACGGGGAGGCUUCCCUUUGAGAUCGAGCCGUGGUGGUGGUGACUGGCAGGCUAGCACAGAGACUGGACCGUGGACGCCAGCGCUGUGUGGUGGUGCGGGUCACAGUGCCACAGCCAGGCCAGGUCACCCUACACGACCUGACCUUGCCUCAUGGGUUGUACCAGGUCAGGGUUGUCAAAAUGGUUGAGACAAGACAGCUGGAUGAGGUCACUGAUGGAGGAAGAAGAGGAGGAGGAGGAGGGGAAGAAGAAGAAGGAAGAGGAGGAGGAGGAGGAGGAGGGAGGAGGAGGAAGGAUAAUCGUCAAAAAGCAUCAGUUUUUUGUACCCACAGAGAGGCGGAGAGAGAGGAUCCUGGUGAGAAACAGAAGGCACAACAAGAUCACCACGUCUCAGCCCAGCAGGCAGUGGCUUCAGCUGUCUAACACUGACCUCAUCCUACGGAAAUACAGCGCACAGGAGAGACGACAAGAAAAUUCGACCUACGGAAGAAUUACUGGUGACGGGAGGGGAGGAAGAGGCCCCUGUGUCUGCUGCAAUUGCUUUAGUUUCUUUCUAGAUUACAACAACAUGACGGCUGUGCUAACUUUCAACUACAGCCUCAAUGAAUCCUGCCAGGCUGUAUGCUCUAAAGUUACAGGUCCCC